rnacentral:rRNA from 1 species
UACGAAGGGGGCUAGCGUUGCUCGGAAUUACUGGGCGUAAAGCGCACGUAGGCGGACUCUUAAGUCGGUGGUGAAAUCCUGGAGCUCAACUCCAGAACUGCCUUUGAUACUGUCGGUCUUGAGUUCGAGAGAGGUAAGUGGAACUGCGAGUGUAGAGGUGAAAUUCGUAGAUAUUCGCAAGAACACCAGUGGCGAAGGCGGCUUACUGGCUCGAAACUGACGCUGAGGCGCGAAAGCGUGGGGAGCAAACAGG